rnacentral:lncRNA from 1 species
AGCCAUUUUGCCUUCAAUCGCUCGUUACUUACACUACUCACUGCCUGAACCAGAGACACCCACUUGACAUUAUGCAGUAGGUACCCCGAAUACUGUUAUCAAACAACUAGGUCUACUUGCCUGGCACAAAAAUCCAAACACUGACAUCGGGAUUGCAGCGAGAGAAAGUGAGGCAUUUAUUGCCUGGCACCAAGCAAGGAGAAUCAGGCAGCUCAGGCUGAAGACCCAAACUCCCCAAGAGCUUACAGGGUAUCAGGGGAUAUGCCUCCCAACAUGAGAGUGUAAAUUGAAGAAGAAGAAAACAGCAUAGUGAACCCAGGAGGGAGGAGAGGUAAUCCUCAGCAUGAAAGUGAAGGGAGAUCACAGUCUGAUGACCUGCUGCAGUUGAAGCUGACAGCGCCAGCCUGCAGGACAAGGAUGACAUCAACACAAGGCUUGAUGUGUCAAGAGUUUUGAGUGGAAAUUCAGAAACUUUAGAGAAUUUGUGGCUGAAAACCAAGC